GACGAACGCUGGCGGCGUGCUUAACACAUGCAAGUCGAACGGUAAGGCUCCAGCUUGCUGGGGUACACGAGUGGCGAACGGGUGAGUAACACGUGGGUGACCUGCCCUGCACUUCGGGAUAAGCCUGGGAAACUGGGUCUAAUACCAGAUAGGACCGCACCGUGAGGGUGUGGUGGAAAGUUUUUUCGGUGUGGGAUGGGCCCGCGGCCUAUCAGCUUGUUGGUGGGGUAAUGGCCUACCAAGGCGGCGACGGGUAGCCGGCCUGAGAGGGUGGACGGCCACAUUGGGACUGAGACACGGCCCAGACUCCUACGGGAGGCAGCAGUGGGGAAUAUUGCACAAUGGGCGGAAGCCUGAUGCAGCGACGCCGCGUGGGGGAUGACGGCCUUCGGGUUGUAAACUCCUUUCACCAUCGACGAAGGGUUUCUGACGGUAGAUGGAGAAGAAGCACCGGCUAACUACGUGCCAGCAGCCGCGGUAAUACGUAGGGUGCGAGCGUUGUCCGGAAUUACUGGGCGUAAAGAGCUCGUAGGUGGUUUGUCGCGUCGUCUGUGAAAUUCCGGGGCUUAACUCCGGGCGUGCAGGCGAUACGGGCAUAACUUGAGUACUGUAGGGGAGACUGGAAUUCCUGGUGUAGCGGUGAAAUGCGCAGAUAUCAGGAGGAACACCGGUGGCGAAGGCGGGUCUCUGGGCAGUAACUGACGCUGAGGAGCGAAAGCAUGGGGAGCGAACAGGAUUAGAUACCCUGGUAGUCCAUGCCGUAAACGGUGGGCGCUAGGUGUGGGUUUCCUUCCACGGGAUCCGUGCCGUAGCUAACGCAUUAAGCGCCCCGCCUGGGGAGUACGGCCGCAAGGCUAAAACUCAAAGGAAUUGACGGGGGCCCGCACAAGCGGCGGAGCAUGUGGAUUAAUUCGAUGCAACGCGAAGAACCUUACCUGGGCUUGACAUAUACAGGAUCGCGCCAGAGAUGGUGUUUCCCUUGUGGCUUGUAUACAGGUGGUGCAUGGUUGUCGUCAGCUCGUGUCGUGAGAUGUUGGGUUAAGUCCCGCAACGAGCGCAACCCUUGUCUUAUGUUGCCAGCACGUUGUGGUGGGGACUCGUAAGAAACUGCCGGGGUUAACUCGGAGGAAGGUGGGGAUGACGUCAAAUCAUCAUGCCCCUUAUGUCCAGGGCUUCACACAUGCUACAAUGGUCGGUACAGUGGGUUGCCAGUCCGUGAGGGCGAGCUAAUCCCGCAAAGCCGGUCUCAGUUCGGAUCGGGGUCUGCAACUCGACCCCGUGAAGUCGGAGUCGCUAGUAAUCGCAGAUCAGCAACGCUGCGGUGAAUACGUUCCCGGGCCU
rnacentral:rRNA from 1 species